UACGAAGGGGGCUAGCGUUGCUCGGAAUCACUGGGCGUAAAGCGCACGUAGGCGGAUCGUUAAGUCAGGGGUGAAAUCCUGGAGCUCAACUCCAGAACUGCCUUUGAUACUGAAGAUCUUGAGUUCGGGAGAGGUGAGUGGAACUGCGAGUGUAGAGGUGAAAUUCGUAGAUAUUCGCAAGAACACCGGUGGCGAAGGCGGCCAACUGGACGAAUACUGACGCUGAGACACGAAAGCGUGGGGAGCAAACAGG
rnacentral:rRNA from 1 species